rnacentral:rRNA from 1 species
GACGAACGCUGGCGGCGUGCUUAACACAUGCAAGUCGAACGGAAAGGCCUGCUUUCCCUUGUGGAUUGCGGGUACUCGAGUGGCGAACGGGUGAGUAACACGUGAGUGAUCUGCCCCCAACUUGGGUAUAAGCCUGGGAAACUGGGUCUAAUUCCCGAUAGGACUGCAGGGUGGUGCCUGUGGUGGAAAACGAUUUUCUAGUGGUUGGGGAUGAGCUCGCGGCCUAUCAGCUUGUUGGUGGGGUAAUGGCCUACCAAGGCGGCGACGGGUAGCCGGCCUGAGAGGGUGGACGGCCGCAUUGGGACUGAGAUACGGCCCAGACUCCUACGGGAGGCAGCAGUUGGGAAUAUUGGACAAUGGGCGGAAGCCUGCUGCAGCGACGCCGCGUGGGGGAUGACGGCCUUCGGGUUGUAAACUCCUUUCGACCGCGAGGAAGCCGCCUGGUUGGAAGGGUGGUGACGGUAGUGGUAGAAGAAGCACCGGCUAACUACGUG